rnacentral:tRNA from 1 species
GCAUCGGUGGUCCAGUGGUAGGAUGCUCGCCUGCCACGCGGGCGAGCCGGGCUCGAUUCCCGGCCAAUGCA